UUGACCUCGGAUCAGGUAGGAAUACCCGCUGAACUUAAGCAUAUCAAUAAGCGGAGGAAAAGAAACCAACAGGGAUUGCCCUAGUAACGGCGAGUGAAGCGGCAACAGCUCAAAUUUGAAAUCUGGCUCUCGGGCCCGAGUUGUAAUUUGUAGAGGAUACUUUUGAUGCGGUGCCUUCCGAGUUCCCUGGAACGGGACGCCAUAGAGGGUGAGAGCCCCGUCUGGUUGGAUGCCAAAUCUCUGUAAAGUUCCUUCGACGAGUCGAGUAGUUUGGGAAUGCUGCUCUAAAUGGGAGGUAUAUGUCUUCUAAAGCUAAAUACCGGCCAGAGACCGAUAGCGCACAAGUAGAGUGAUCGAAAGAUGAAAAGCACUUUGAAAAGAGAGUUAAAAAGUACGUGAAAUUGUUGAAAGGGAAGCGUUUAUGACCAGACUUGGGCUUGGUUGAUCAUCUGGGGUUCUCCCCAGUGCACUCUUCCAGUCCAGGCCAGCAUCAGUUUUCGCCGGGGGAUAAAGACUUCGGGAAUGUGGCUCUCUUCGGGGAGUGUUAUAGCCCGUUGUGUAAUACCCCGGCGGGGACUGAGGUUCGCGCAUCUGCAAGGAUGCUGGCGUAAUGGUCAUCAACGACCCGUCU
rnacentral:rRNA from 1 species